GCGAAAGCAUUUGCCAAGAAUGUUUUCAUUAAUCAAGAACGAAAGUCAGAGGUGCGAAGGCGAUCAGAUACCGCCGUAGUUCUGACCGUAAACGUUGCCAACUGGCAAUUGGGCGCACUUCUACAGAAGUUGCCGCCAGCAGUAUUGCCCGGGAAACCAAAGUCAUUGGGUUCCGGGGGGAGUAUGGUUGCAAAGCUGAAACUUAAAGGAAUUGACGGAAGGGCACCACCAGGAGUGGAGCCUGCGGCUUAAUUUGACUCAACACGGGAAACCUCACCCGGCCCGAACACUGUUAUGACAGACAGGUUGAGAGCUGUUUCUCGAUUCAGUGGUUGGUGGUGCAUGGCCGUUCUUAGUUCGUGGAGCGAUCUGUCUGGUUAAUUCCGAUAACGAACGAGACUCUUGCCUGCUAAAUAGACGGCGCCGACUACGGACGGCGACCGUUCGCUUCUUAGAGGGACAAGCGGCUUUUAGCCGCGUGAAGCGGAGAGCAAUAACAGGUCUGUGAUGCCCUCAGAUGUUCGGGGCCGCACGCGCGCUACACUGUUUGCAUCAGCGUGUUUCUCCCGCGCCGGCCGGCGUGGGCAACCCGUUGAACCGCAAACGUGCUAGGGAUCGGAGAUUGCAAUUGUUCUCCGUGAACGAGGAAUUCCUUGUACUGGCGAGUCAUCAGCUCGCGGGGAAUCUGUCCCUGCCCUUUGUACACACCGCCGUCGCUACUACCGAUUGAGUGGUUUAGUGAGGCUCACGGACUGCGCGCGGCACACGGCGUCCUCGGGCGUCGCGUCGCGAGGCGGAAAGUGAGACGAACUUGAUCACUUCUAGGAAGUAAAAGUCGUAACAAGGUUUUCGUAGGUGAACCUGCGGAAGGAUC
rnacentral:rRNA from 1 species